rnacentral:rRNA from 1 species
GAUGAACGCUGGCGGCGUGCUUAACACAUGCAAGUCGAACGGAAGGGCCCAAGCUUGCUUGGGUACUCGAGUGGCGAACGGGUGAGUAACACGUGGGUGAUCUGCCCUGCACUUCGGGAUAAGCCUGGGAAACUGGGUCUAAUACCGGAUAGGACGAUGGUUUGGAUGCCAUUGUGGAAAGUUUUUUCGGUGUGGGAUGAGCUCGCGGCCUAUCAGCUUGUUGGUGGGGUAAUGGCCUACCAAGGCGUCGACGGGUAGCCGGCCUGCGAGGGUGUACGGCCACAUUGGGACUGAGAUACGGCCCAGACUCCUACGGGAGGCAGCAGUGGGGAAUACUGCACAAUGGGCGCAAGCCUGAUGCAGCGACGCCGCGUGGGGGAUGACGGCCUUCGGGUUGUAAACUCCUUUCGCUAGGGACGAAGCGUUUUUGUGACGGUACCUGGAGAAGAAGCACCGGCUAACUACGUG